UUUGAUUCUGAAUUUAUAAUAAAUGAAUUUUCAGCUGUUUUAUACACACUCUAAUAAAUGUGUAUUAUAUUUAAAAUGAAAAAAUAUUUAUAUUUAAAAUGAAAAUAUAUUUAUGAUAAGGAAUGAUAUUAUGACAGCUUAACUGAUGUAAUGUCAUAAGAGUAUCUCCAAUGGUGAUACCGCUUUGGGAAUCAUACAUCACUAAAAAGUAGUCCCUACAAUGCCAUAUAGUAUUUAUGCAACUUAUACGUGUUUUGCUCCAAUGGUGAUACCACUCUAGCUAUUAUACAUCAUUAACAAGUUAUUAAUUCUAUUUAAUUCGAUAUACAAAAAAAAAAGGUAACAAUAAAUUGAUGAUACGGUACCUUAAAUAAGGUACCAGUAUCAUCAAUUUUGAUACCCUCUAGGCCACAUCAUGAAACUCCAAUGAUAAAAAAAGUUAAGGUACGGAUCAUUAGUCUAUGAUACUCUCUAAGAUAAUCUUAUUGGAGAUGCUCUAAGCUCAAACUAAUGAGAAAAGUAUAUUUUUUGCUUUGUUUUUACAUUAAAGUGAAAACCUUGAUUAGUUUAUAGGCAAUUGAGUGCUAUGAGCAGUAAUAUGUUUUCAACUUGUGUUUAGAAUGAUUAUCAAUUGCUUCCAAUUAUUAAAUCAUAUAGUAUCAUUUUCAUGUAUUGAAAUUGAAAUUGAAAUAUACAUAAUGGACUUAUUACAAAUUUAAUGACAUUUUCUAUGGCAGGGAUUAAUUAGCUCCACAAAAAGAGACAAUUUCAACA
rnacentral:lncRNA from 1 species